UACGAAGGGGGCUAGCGUUGUUCGGAAUUACUGGGCGUAAAGCGCACGUAGGCGGACAUUUAAGUCAGGGGUGAAAUCCCGGGGCUCAACCCCGGAACUGCCUCUGAUACUGGGUGUCUUGAGUGUGGUAGAGGUGAGUGGAAUUGCGAGUGUAGAGGUGAAAUUCGUAGAUAUUCGCAGGAACACCAGUGGCGAAGGCGGCUCACUGGACCACAACUGACGCUGAGGUGCGAAAGCGUGGGGAGCAAACAGG
rnacentral:rRNA from 1 species